rnacentral:rRNA from 1 species
GCUUAGAGUUUGAUCCUGGCUCAGGAUGAACGCUGGCGGCGUGCCUAACACAUGCAAGUCGAACGGAAUCUUCGGAUUUAGUGGCGGACGGGUGAGUAACGCGUGAGAAUCUGCCUUUAGGUUCGGGACAACAGUUGGAAACGACUGCUAAUACCGAAUGUGUCGCAAGAUGAAAGAUUAAUUGCCUAAAGAUGAGCUCGCGUCCGAUUAGCUAGUUGGUGUGGUAAAAGCGCACCAAGGCGACGAUCGGUAGCUGGUCUGAGAGGAUGAUCAGCCACACUGGGACUGAGACACGGCCCAGACUCCUACGGGAGGCAGCAGUGGGGAAUUUUCCGCAAUGGGCGAAAGCCUGACGGAGCAACGCCGCGUGAGGGAGGAAGGCUUCUGGGUUGUAAACCUCUUUUCUCAAGGAAGAUAAUGACGGUACUUGAGGAAUCAGCAUCGGCUAACUCCGUGCCAGCAGCCGCGGUAAUACGGAGGAUGCAAGCGUUAUCCGGAAUAAUUGGGCGUAAAGCGUUCGUAGGUGGUUUUACAAGUCUGCUGUUAAAGCGUGUAGCUCAACUACAUAAUGGCGGUGGAAACUGUAGAACUAGAGUACGUUCGGGGCAGAGGGAAUUCCUAGUGUAGCGGUGAAAUGCGUAGAGAUUAGGAAGAACACCGGUGGCGAAAGCGCUCUGCUAGGCCGUAACUGACACUGAGGGACGAAAGCUAGGGGAGCGAAUGGGAUUAGAUACCCCAGUAGUC